rnacentral:tRNA from 1 species
AGAGCUCAGGGGUGGAGCGCGUGCUUAGCAUGCACAAAGUCCUGGGUUCAAUCCCCAGCACUUCUA